rnacentral:lncRNA from 1 species
UACUUAAAUUAUUACUAUAGUUAACUAUACUAUUUUGAUUACUUAGACUUUUAAUUAUAUUCUUUUUAAUUAAUUUAAAUAUUUUAUUUUAUUCUUAUUUAAUUCUUUUCUAAAUUUAAAUUAACUUUUAUUAUUAUUAUUAUUAUUAUUAUUAUUUAAUGCUACCAACACAAAUUUUACCCAAAUUUCUAUCUCAUGUUACACUUAACCAUUUUCCAAUUUAACUUUUACAAAUUUCCAUUUAAUGAUACAUUAUUUUCCAAUUUUAUUAAUUAAUUUUUUUUCUUGAUUCUUCCCAAAGGCCCCAACCUCUCCAAAUGUUUAACCCAUGGGAAAGUCUCCAUGCUAGCCCAUGGCCUAGUGAGCUUCUGUGAUACAUCAAAAUGCCCCACAAUAUGUUCUCAUGUUUGUCGAGAAAACACGGCCCGUUCGUCUGUUGAACAAGGCAACAAGCCCAAGCGAACAUACCAUGUGCAGAGGCACACUAACGUGUCCCUAUUUUAGCAAAUGUAGGUGCCCGAAUACUCCUCAACUUUCUUUGGCUUGGCAUCUUCGAGUUGAAAAACUACUAGAGGAAGUUAUAAGUUAUACAUUUGUACCUAGAAUCCAUCUCUUUCACGUGCAGCAAAGAACAAACUGUGAAACAUGAUUUCAGGGGCAUUUUGAUGCCCGAAUGCUUAACAGAGGCUAAUGGCCUCUAUUUUCUGUCCCUCUUCUUCUCUUUUUUGCUUUUAAGACGUUCAUCAUCAUCCAUCACAAUCAAACAUAACAAAAACAUAUUUAAUACAAUUAAAACUAAUUACAUAAUUAUCAAGCACAAGACUCACCCUUUUUCCAUUUAAAAAUCCACUUCCUUUAUGCAUUUUUAAAGAACACAUCCCAUUAAAUGCAAUCUAGAAAUGCCAUCUUUAUAUGAACUAAACUAUUACCCAUCUUACCUCAAAGAAAUAGCAGCAACAAGCCAAAGAAUCAAAAGAAAAGGUUGGAUUGAAAGCUUGAAGAAUAGUUUUACGCAAUACGCCCAACUGUUGUGAAAAAUGAGAUUAAUUUCUAGUUUCCUGGAGUGUUUAGCUUUGUCUAAUUAAUUUCUAACAAAUCCCUAAUAUCUUAUUAUGAUUCUAGGUUACAUAAGGCUCACUAGAUUAACUAAAUGGAAGAGAAAAACAGAAGGACAGUAGCAUACCUACUCGGUCUGCAACUUCUAGAAAUAUUGCUGAAAAAUGGCUUCGGUUGAAGCCUUCUACACAAUCUGGAGUCCUAAGGUUGUUAAGAAACAUGUUUAAGUGUGAAGGAAGAGUGGAAGAAUACAAUUCAGGGAGAAAAGAAGCUUACCUUAAAUAGAAACCAAGUUUUGGACUCCUAAUCUCACUCGCACACUCAAACGUUCUGUUUUUCCAAAUGUCUUCACCAUAGAAGCUUUUAAUUUCUCUCAACUCACAGUUUUCUUGUUGGUUUGUUUGCUUGUAGAAGAAAUGAAGGAAGAAGUUGUGCUGUAGAAGAAGACUUGAGGGAAAAGUCCAGCUGAUCGAAGCCUUCCAUUCACAUGCAAUUGCUCCUAACCAUAGAUGUAAGGACAUGGCCGACAGCUUGCUGUAGAGUGGAGUUGGAGCUGCAACAUUGGGCCCGCCAGAACCUGUCCCAACCAGUUAGUUGAGGCAUUAACAGCAUUCGGUGUAGUGGCGUCACAUCAGACUAGGCCAAAGUGGCCAUUUACGGGUUAUCUUUGUUCCCCCCCCGUGGUUUAUAUGUAAAUAUAUAUAUACACC